rnacentral:rRNA from 1 species
GGACUACCAGGGUAUCUAAUCCCGUUUGCUCCCCUGGCUUUCGCACCUGAGCGUCAGGUACUCCCCAGGACACUGCCUUCGCCUUUGGUGUUCCUCCGGAUAUCUACGCAUUUCACCACUCCACCCGGAAUUCCGUGUCCCUCGUGAGCCCUCAAGUGCGGCAGUCUUCAAAGACCCUUCUCAGUUAAGCCGAGAAUUGUCACUCCAAACUUACCGCACCGCCUGCGUGCGCUUUACGCCCAGUAACUCCGGACAACGCUCGCCCCCUACGUAUUACCGCGGCUGCUGGCAC